rnacentral:rRNA from 1 species
CAGUAGCCGCGGUAAUACGUAGGGUGCGAGCGUUGUCCGGAAUUAUUGGGCGUAAAGAGCUUGUAGGCGGUCUGUCGCGUCUGCUGUGAAAACCCGAGGCUCAACCUCGGGCCUGCAGUGGGUACGGGCAGACUAGAGUGCGGUAGGGGAGAACGGAACUCCUGGUGUAGCGGUGGAAUGCGCAGAUAUCAGGAAGAACACCGAUGGCGAAGGCAGUUCUCUGGGCCGUAACUGACGCUGAGAAGCGAAAGCGUGGGGAGCGAACAGGAUUAGAUACCCGUGUAGUCCCUGUCUCUUAUAC